rnacentral:lncRNA from 1 species
GUAGUAUCUACCCCAACUCAUAAGGACUGACCACUAGUACAGUUUACCGAGCAUGUAUGUACAGAUUGGCAACAGAGAGUUACCAGUAGAUCUCAUACUCUAAACGUGCAUGAUUUUGAUGUUAUACUAGGAAUGGAUUGGUUGGCAGUGUACCAUUCCAAUAUAGAUUGUCAUGGGAAAAUGGUGACCUUUAAUGUUCCCAAUGAUAAGGCUUUCAAAUUCGAAGGGAU